CGUCUGGACCCGGAGGGCGCGGAAGUUCAGGGAGCCGCUGGGGGUCGGGGCCUGGGGCCUUGGCCCCCCUCUCCCACCGGGACUCAGAGGAACCACUCGGAGGACGAGAGGCCGGAGGCGGGGAAUCGCGGGUGUGUGUCAUUCUGCGCACAGAAGAAAGGCCGCCGCUCCACCCCAGGGGAGGCUCUUUUCUGUGACCACAGGUCGGAACAGUUGCCUGAGGAUAUUUACUCUGCGCUCCCACGGCCCGCUCCAUUCCUGCUUCCAGGCCUUGCUCGGCCCUCG